AACGAACGCUGGCGGCAUGCCUAACACAUGCAAGUCGAACGAGACCUUCGGGUCUAGUGGCGCACGGGUGCGUAACGCGUGGGAAUCUGCCCUUGGGUUCGGAAUAACAGUUAGAAAUGACUGCUAAUACCGGAUGAUGUCUUCGGACCAAAGAUUUAUCGCCCAGGGAUGAGCCCGCGUAGGAUUAGCUAGUUGGUGGGGUAAAGGCCUACCAAGGCGACGAUCCUUAGCUGGUCUGAGAGGAUGAUCAGCCACACUGGGACUGAGACACGGCCCAGACUCCUACGGGAGGCAGCAGUGGGGAAUAUUGCGCAAUGGGCGAAAGCCUGACGCAGCGACGCCGCGUGGGUGAUGAAGGCCUGGUCGUAAGA
rnacentral:rRNA from 1 species